GCAAAUGCACGUACCUCUAUUUUGCGCAGAAAUGAAACAACCAAGAGGCAAGUGAGGGACAAAUUCAACAAACAAAAAGAAGUCAAGAAACACUUCAGUGGGGGAAAGGAUUUCCUUCAGGUGUUUACUGUGAGUUCCAAGGAAUACCAAAAGGAAAAGCAUUUGCAACAAGAAGAGACAGAAAUACCCAAACUUCAGGAAUUUCUCAGAAAUCUCAAUGAUCGUAGUACAAAGACUUCAGAUUAUGUUUCUG